rnacentral:SRP_RNA from 1 species
GCCUGGUGUGGUGGUGCGCACCUGUAGUCCCAGCUACUUAGGAGGCUGAGGUGAGAGGAUUGCUUUAGCCCAGGAGUCCGAGGCUGCAGUGAGCCUAGAUCGUGCCACUGCACUCCAGCAUGGGCGACAGAGUAAGAUCCCAUCUCUA